rnacentral:rRNA from 1 species
UACAGAGGGUGCGAGCGUUAAUCGGAAUUACUGGGCGUAAAGCGCGCGUAGGCGGCUUUGCAAGUCGGGUGUGAAAUCCCCAAGCUUAACUUGGGAACUGCAUUCGAGACUGCAUUGCUAGAGUAUGGGAGAGGGAAGUGGAAUUUCCGGUGUAGCGGUGAAAUGCGUAGAUAUCGGAAGGAACAUCAGUGGCGAAGGCGAUUUUCUGGACAGAUACUGACACUGAGGCACGAAAGCGUGGGGAGCAAACAGG